rnacentral:tRNA from 1 species
GGGAUGGCAGAGUGGUCGAAUGCGGCAGAUUGAAAACCUGUUGAUCGAGAAAUUGAUCCGGGGGUUCGAAUCCCCCUCCC